rnacentral:rRNA from 1 species
UGCAGUCGAGCGGCAGCGGAAGUAGCUUGCUACUUUGCCGGCGAGCGGCGGACGGGUGAGUAAUGUCUGGGAAACUGCCUGAUGGAGGGGGAUAACUACUGGAAACGGUAGCUAAUACCGCAUAACGUCGCAAGACCAAAGAGGGGGACCUUCGGGCCUCUUGCCAUCAGAUGUGCCCAGAUGGGAUUAGCUAGUAGGUGGGGUAACGGCUCACCUAGGCGACGAUCCCUAGCUGGUCUGAGAGGAUGACCAGCCACACUGGAACUGAGACACGGUCCAGACUCCUACGGGAGGCAGCAGUGGGGAAUAUUGCACAAUGGGCGCAAGCCUGAUGCACCCAUGCCGCGUGUAUGAAGAAGGCCUUCGGGUUGUAAAGUACUUUCAGCGGGGAGGAAGGUGGUGAGGUUAAUAACCUCAGCAAUUGACGUUACCCGCAGAAGAAGCACCGGCUAACUCCGUGCCAGCAGCCGCGGUAAUACGGAGGGUGCAAGCGUUAAUCGGAAUUACUGGGCGUAAAGCGCACGCAGGCGGUCUGUCAAGUCGGAUGUGAAAUCCCCGGGCUCAACCUGGGAACUGCAUUCGAAACUGGCAGGCUAGAGUCUUGUAGAGGGGGGUAGAAUUCCAGGUGU